GCCCGGGCCAAAGUGAGCGCAAAGUGCUGCCCAAGUUGCCGGGAUGGAGCUGCAGAGCCGGCCCGAGGCGCUCGCCGUGGAACUCGCGCGCCACCAGAACGGCGACCUCAAGAAGCAGCUCCACGAAAGGCAGCCGCGGAUCGCCGCGCUCAGCGACAAACAAAUCGCGGGCAGAACCUCUCAUCUGUGCACAAGGGACCCAGCACGGGGCUUUGGGAACGAUCACUGCAGUGCCUGUCACGGGUCCUCAGGUCAGCUCCUUGCAGAGGUUGGCCGGGCAAGGAGCGGCAGUGCUACCUCAGGUUAGGCCAAAGACUCUGAUUCCAGACAGCCUCCCC
rnacentral:lncRNA from 1 species